rnacentral:lncRNA from 10 species
GAGAAGUGAGGGCCCGAGCCGGUCAGGUGACAGGUGCUCGUGCCACCCGCGCCCCUCCCUCCAGCCUCCUUCCUCCUGCCACGUCCUGGGCGCUGGUGGGGCGAUGGGAGGCGAGGUCGAGGGAAGAUUGGGUGCUGGGGGUGGUAUUCCAGAGUGGGAGACUUGGCAGGAUUUCUUUCAGAGAAUUCCAACAAAAUCGGGGGAAGGAUUCAUUCUGCUCUCUAGGGCAGAAAGAGAAUGGAAGGUCUGAAGGCUUGCAGAAAUAAAUGUGUGACCUGAAAGAACGAAGCAGAGAGGACUCAAGUGCAGAAAGGAUUGAUUUCAGAAAAUCUCCAGCUUAAGAAGAGAAUAAUGA